rnacentral:rRNA from 1 species
AAAUUGAAGAGUUUGAUCAUGGCUCAGAUUGAACGCUGGCGGCAGGCCUAACACAUGCAAGUCGAACGGUAACAGGAAACAGCUUGCUGUUUCGCUGACGAGUGGCGGACGGGUGAGUAAUGUCUGGGAAACUGCCUGAUGGAGGGGGAUAACUACUGGAAACGGUAGCUAAUACCGCAUAACGUCGCAAGACCAAAGAGGGGGACCUUCGGGCCUCUUGCCAUCGGAUGUGCCCAGAUGGGAUUAGCUAGUAGGUGGGGUAACGGCUCACCUAGGCGACGAUCCCUAGCUGGUCUGAGAGGAUGACCAGCCACACUGGAACUGAGACACGGUCCAGACUCCUACGGGAGGCAGCAGUGGGGAAUAUUGCACAAUGGGCGCAAGCCUGAUGCAGCCAUGCCGCGUGUAUGAAGAAGGCCUUCGGGUUGUAAAGUACUUUCAGCGGGGAGGAAGGGAGUAAAGUUAAUACCUUUGCUCAUUGACGUUACCCGCAGAAGAAGCACCGGCUAACUCCGUGCCAGCAGCCGCGGUAAUACGGAGGGUGCAAGCGUUAAUCAGAAUUACUGGGCGUAAAGCGCACGCAGGCGGUUUGUUAAGUCAGAUGUGAAAUCCCCGGGCUCAACCUGGGAACUGCAUCUGAUACUGGCAAGCUUGAGUCUCGUAGAGGGGGGUAGAAUUCCAGGUGUAGCGGUGAAAUGCGUAGAGAUCUGGAGGAAUACCGGUGGCGAAGGCGGCCCCCUGGACGAAGACUGACGCUCAGGUGCGAAAGCGUGGGGAGCAAACAGGAUUAGAUACCCUGGUAGUCCACGCCGUAAACGAUGUCGACUUGGAGGUUGUGCCCUUGAGGCGUGGCUUCCGGAGCUAACGCGUUAAGUCGACCGCCUGGGGAGUACGGCCGCAAGGUUAAAACUCAAAUGAAUUGACGGGGGCCCGCACAAGCGGUGGAGCAUGUGGUUUAAUUCGAUGCAACGCGAAGAACCUUACCUGGUCUUGACAUCCACAGAACUUUCCAGAGAUGGAUUGGUGCCUUCGGGAACUGUGAGACAGGUGCUGCAUGGCUGUCGUCAGCUCGUGUUGUGAAAUGUUGGGUUAAGUCCCGCAACGAGCGCAACCCUUAUCCUUUGUUGCCAGCGGUCCGGCCGGGAACUCAAAGGAGACUGCCAGUGAUAAACUGGAGGAAGGUGGGGAUGACGUCAAGUCAUCAUGGCCCUUACGACCAGGGCUACACACGUGCUACAAUGGCGCAUACAAAGAGAAGCGACCUCGCGAGAGCAAGCGGACCUCAUAAAGUGCGUCGUAGUCCGGAUUGGAGUCUGCAACUCGACUCCAUGAAGUCGGAAUCGCUAGUAAUCGUGGAUCAGAAUGCCACGGUGAAUACGUUCCCGGGCCUUGUACACACCGCCCGUCACACCAUGGGAGUGGGUUGCAAAAGAAGUAGGUAGCUUAACCUUCGGGAGGGCGCUUACCACUUUGUGAUUCAUGACUGGGGUGAAGUCGUAACAAGGUAACCGUAGGGGAACCUGCGGUUGGAUCACCUCCUUA